rnacentral:rRNA from 1 species
CACUGAGUGCGAAAGCGUGGGGAGCAAACGGGAUUAGAUACCCCGGUAGUCCACGCCGUAAACGAUGUCUACUAGCCGUUGGAGGACUUGAUCCUUUAGUGGCGCAGCUAACGCGAUAAGUAGACCGCCUGGGGAGUACGGUCGCAAGAUUAAAACUCAAAUGAAUUGACGGGGGCCCGCACAAGCGGUGGAGCAUGUGGUUUAAUUCGAAGCAACGCGAAGAACCUUACCUACUCUUGACAUCCAGUGAACUUUUGAGAGAUCAAUUGGUGCCUUCGGGAACACUGAGACAGGUGCUGCAUGGCUGUCGUCAGCUCGUGUUGUGAAAUGUUGGGUUAAGUCCCGUAACGAGCGCAACCCUUGUCCUUAGUUACCAUCAUUAAGUUGGGGACUCUAAGGAGACUGCCGGUGACAAACCGGAGGAAGGCGGGGACGACGUCAAGUCAUCAUGGCCCUUACGAGUAGGGCUACACACGUGCUACAAUGGCAUGUACAAAGGGUUGCCAAGCCGCGAGGUGGAGCUAAUCCCAUAAAGCAUGUCGUAGUCCGGAUUGGAGUCUGCAACUCGACUCCAUGAAGUCGGAAUCGCUAGUAAUCGUGAAUCAGAAUGUCACGGUGAAUACGUUCCCGGGCCUUGUACACACCGCCCGUCACACCAUGGGAGUGGGUUGCUCCAGAAGUAGAUAGCUUAACCUUCGGGAGGGCGUUUACCACGGAGUGAUUCAUGACUGGGGUGAAGUCGUAACAAGGUAGCCGUA